rnacentral:rRNA from 1 species
GAGUUUGAUCAUGGCUCAGAUUGAACGCUGGCGGCAGGCCUAACACAUGCAAGUCGAGCGGAUGAAGGGAGCUUGCUCCUGGAUUCAGCGGUGGACGGGUGAGUAAUGCCUAGGAAUCUGCCUGGUAGUGGGGGAUAACGUCCGGAAACGGGCGCUAAUACCGCAUACGUCCUGAGGGAGAAAGUGGGGGAUCUUCGGACCUCACGCUAUCAGAUGAGCCUAGGUCGGAUUAGCUAGUUGGUGGGGUAAAGGCCUACCAAGGCGACGAUCCGUAACUGGUCUGAGAGGAUGAUCAGUCACACUGGAACUGAGACACGGUCCAGACUCCUACGGGAGGCAGCAGUGGGGAAUAUUGGACAAUGGGCGAAAGCCUGAUCCGGCCAUGCCGCGUGUGUGAAGAAGGUCUUCGGAUUGUAAAGCACUUUAAGUUGGGAGGAAGGGCAGUAAGUUAAUACCUUGCUGUUUUGACGUUACCAACAGAAUAAGCACCGGCUAACUUCGUGCCAGCAGCCGC